UAACAAUGUAUUUAAGCAUCACGUCUCAUAGUGGACAGGGAUUGCUUUUAUGUCUAGGGGUCAGAGGAACAUGUUAGAGUGAAGCCAAGUUUUAAAAGGAAGGUUCAAAUAUGCACUAGGUUUUGCCCAGGAUCCAGGAGGAAGCAUUGUGUAUAAAGAAGAAGCUCUGUUUGGAUGGACACGUGGGGGUGAUCUGGGACAUAGAAACCUGGAAAAGCUGAUGAAAGCUGAUUUUCCCUUGAAGAAGACAUUUGGAAUGAAGCAAUGUGACCUUUAAUCACCCUCAGACCUCUUUUUGUUCUUGUUCCAGGACAUUCUGUAAAAGGUUUUGCUUCACUUGGAUAGGAACCAAGCCAGCCACAUGGAAAGAAAAAUAACUUGGGUUUUAGCCAGAUGAUACCAAAAUGACCCCAGAACCAGAAGAUGGCAGAGCCACAAAGUGAAAAAUACUUGGGUCUCUGAAUCAUAGCUUGGAGGAGGGCUUCCUGGAAAACCAUCCCAACAGAGACAUCCGCAUUAAACUUUGUGUAAACAAAAAAUAAAUCUUUCUUGUGGUAGGCCACUGAGAUUUAGAUUGCUACAGCAGCUAACCGAUCUGACCAAUACAGCAGAGAACUCCUCCAGUGCUCUCAAGUGUUUUACAGACCACUAAUUAUUAAAUGUGGAAGCUCUGGAGCAGAGAACCUUUCAACUGAAAUGAUGACAAACGAUGCUGGCUGAGGAGAGUCAGACCUGAAAAGUUAGGAAUCCCUAAAAUGACGUCAACCUAUAAUUCCUAUUACAGAGCUCUGAUUUCUACUGAUCGUUUUAGGAACCAUAUCUACUAUGUGAGAAAAGCUGCUGGUGGGCCUAAUUUAGAUGAAAAGCAGAAAGGCCUUAAAAAAGAAAUGGGAAAGGAAUAUACAGAAGCAAGAAGAUGAUUGAAAAAAGAUGGCAAUUCAUGUACUUGUUGAACACCAGUUCUGAGCUGCAGAGCAGGAGGCACAAGACGUAAACAAAAAAGUCUCUGUUACGGUCCUAAAGAAGCCAAUCAUCUAGAGAAAUGUAUGCACAGCAGGUCCAGCAGAAUGGGCUUUGCGCUGAUGAGGGAAGCAAGAGGAGAGCAUGGCCUGGGAAAGGAGAUGAUCAGGCUCACUUCCCAUUUCUCUGUGGAAGAACCGUGGCAAACACAGAGUCAACUCACAACGUUCAUUGGAAUUUUUCCCACUUGACUCCUUCGCAAGUUGGAAUAAGGAGUUUGGAAAGGGAGGAUUUCUUCAUAUAAAAAUGGUCUGGGUAUAUCCACGCAAAACUAAAGGGAGUGGAAGAGACCCUAGGUCUACACAUUUGAUGGGAUAGAUCCUUCGGGCUCAGCCUCACCUGCAGGUACUGAAGGAAGCCUUAGUCUGCUAUACAGAGCACUCUGCACCAUGGGGAGAAGAUCAAUAUGCUAAACUUGGGUACUGGGCCUAAAUCUUACGAAGUGACCUCAAACCUAGGAAGGGUAGUUUCAUCAGAAAAGAUCCUACAACCUUCUAUCUGAAGAGCAUGAAUAGCUGCUGCUUUUUUGGAGUUGGGGCCUUUCAUUCACCAUGAAGAUACUGCAUUGUGGCACAGUCCUUGAAGAGACAAGUAGAGACAGGGUUUCACCGUGGUGACAGGCUGGUCUCGAACUCCUGACCUCAAGUGAUCCGUCUGCCUCAGCAUCCCAAAGUGCUGGGAUUACAGGCACAUUGAAGAAUCAGAAGAUGUUUUCCCCCUGUGUUUUUGAUGGAAGGAAGAAAGCAGGAUUUGCCAGGAUGCAUUCUGCAUCCAAGAACAUGAACGGAAAUGAGCCACAGAAAAUCUGGAGUGAUGGCAGCUGUUGUGAGAGGUGGCAAUGAAAUGGAUUUCUCAGACACAGAGAUGUGGUCUCCCACCAGGUCCCAUUUCAGUGUAUGGUUUCUUGGAUUUCUCUGCCAGCUUCAAACAGUGCUUCUGAUAAAGUGGCUAUUUUUUCUUCUGGAAUUUGAAUAUGCUUGGGAGAGAAAUAAGAUUAUUUUCACCAUAA
rnacentral:lncRNA from 10 species